CGGGUUUCCUGCUUCAACAGUGCUUGGACAGAAUGG
rfam:Myotis brandtii contig215628, whole genome shotgun sequence.